GACGAACGCUGGCGGCAUGCCUAACACAUGCAAGUCGAACGGAGCCAUCUAACCGAUCCCUUCGGGGUGAAGUUGGGGAAGCUUAGUGGCGGACGGGUGAGUAACGCGUGAGUAACCUGCCUUUCAGAGGGGGAUAACGUUCCGAAAGGAACGCUAAUACCGCAUAACGUAUUUUUACCGCAUGAUAGAGAUACCAAAGAUUUAUCGCUGAAAGAUGGACUCGCGUCUGAUUAGCUAGUUGGAGGGGUAACGGCCCGACCAAGGCGACGAUCAGUAGCCGAACUGAGAGGUUGGAUCGGCCACAUUGGGACUGAGACACGGCCCAGACUCCUACGGGAGGCAGCAGUGGGGAAUAUUGGGCAAUGGGCGAAAGCCUGACCCAGCAAUGCCGCGUGAAGGAAGAAGGCCUUCGGA
rnacentral:rRNA from 1 species